rnacentral:rRNA from 1 species
CAGGCUCAGAUUGAACGCUGGCGGCAGGCUUAACACAUGCAAGUCGAGCGGAGAGAGGUAGCUUGCUACUGAUCUUAGCGGCGGACGGGUGAGUAAUGCUUAGGAAUCUGCCUAUUAGUGGGGGACAACAUUUCGAAAGGAAUGCUAAUACCGCAUACGUCCUACGGGAGAAAGCAGGGGAUCUUCGGACCUUGCGCUAAUAGAUGAGCCUAAGUCGGAUUAGCUAGUUGGUGGGGUAAAGGCCUACCAAGGCGACGAUCUGUAGCGGGUCUGAGAGGAUGAUCCGCCACACUGGGACUGAGACACGGCCCAGACUCCUACGGGAGGCAGCAGUGGGGAAUAUUGGACAAUGGGCGCAAGCCUGAUCCAGCCAUGCCGCGUGUGUGAAGAAGGCCUUAUGGUUGUAAAGCACUUUAAGCGAGGAGGAGGCUACUUUAGUUAAUACCUAGAGAUAGUGGACGUUACUCGCAGAAUAAGCACCGGCUAACUCUGUGCCAGCAGCCGCGGUAAUACAGAGGGUGCAAGCGUUAAUCGGAUUUACUGGGCGUAAAGCGCGCGUAGGCGGCUAAUUAAGUCAAAUGUGAAAUCCCCGAGCUUAACUUGGGAAUUGCAUUCGAUACUGGUAGCUAGAGUGGAAAGUUUU